rnacentral:lncRNA from 1 species
UGUCACAUACAAGGUAGCAGCUGUAUAUAUAGCAGCUAGAGUUAGUGUUCUGAUUACAAAAAUAAGAACUGAUACAUUGAACUAUUGAAGUAACAGCUAGCCUCAACUCGAUAUUAAUAAAUCAGUGAGUUAUGACUAGUAAUAAUGAACACUUAGUAUAACUAAUUAAUUACACUAAAAUUAGUUAAGCAGAAAAGCAUGUGAAAACUACAUUCUCCCCAAAACCAACAGAGCUUUUUUUGCAAAUGUAGUCAUUAUUCUGUACAAAACAAGAAGAUGACGAUUCUUGCCCUGAAGCUACUUUUCCUUCUUUCUGAUUGGACUGAAACACAUUUCUGCCUUUUUCUGAUGAUGUUCUGUUGAGUUCAUUUGCAGCAGAAGCAGAAGCAGUACUCCUUUUCUCCAGUCUUCGUUGAAUAACGUACUCUUCAGGAAUGUAUACAUCCAUUUAAAGUAAAAAUAAAUUAGUAAUUCAACACUCAAAAUUAAAG